UUCUCUCUCUUUCUCUUUCUCUUUCUCUUCCUCUUUCUCUUUUUCUUCUUCUUCGUUGUGCCCGCCUCCUCGACUGUCUGCUUGAAUGGAAUGAGACGCGGGAACAAGGAAGACAAGGAGAGAG
rnacentral:ribozyme from 11 species